UACGAAGGGGGCUAGCGUUGCUCGGAAUCACUGGGCGUAAAGCGCGCGCAGGCGGUCCUUUAAGUCUGAUGUGAAAGCCCACGGCUCAACCGUGGAGGGUCAUUGGAAACUGGGGGACUUGAGUGCAGAAGAGGAAAGCGGAAUUCCACGUGUAGCGGUGAAAUGCGUAGAGAUGUGGAGGAACACCAGUGGCGAAGGCGGCUUUCUGGUCUGUAACUGACGCUGAGGCGCGAAAGCGUGGGGAGCAAACAGG
rnacentral:rRNA from 1 species